rnacentral:rRNA from 1 species
GGGUUGUGAGGUUAAGCGACUAAGCGUACACGGUGGAUGCCCUGGCAGUCAGAGGCGAUGAAGGACGUGCUAAUCUGCGAAAAGCGUCGGUAAGGUGAUAUGAACCGUUAUAACCGGCGAUGUCCGAAUGGGGAAACCCAGUGUGAUUCGUCACACUAUCGUUAACUGAAUACAUAGGUUAACGAGGCGAACCGGGGGAACUGAAACAUCUAAGUACCCCGAGGAAAAGAAAUCAACCGAGAUUCCCCCAGUAGCGGCGAGCGAACGGGGAGCAGCCCAGAGUCUGAAUCAGCUUGUGUGUUAGUGGAACGGUCUGGAAAGUCCGACGGUACAGGGUGAUAGUCCCGUACACCAAAAUGCACAGGUUGUGAACUCGAAGAGUAGGGCGGGACACGUGGUAUCCUGUCUGAAUAUGGGGGGACCAUCCUCCAAGGCUAAAUACUCCUGACUGACCGAUAGUGAACCAGUACCGUGAGGGAAAGGCGAAAAGAACCCCGGCGAGGGGAGUGAAAAAGAACCUGAAACCGUGUACGUACAAGCAGUGGGAGCACCUUCGGGUGUGACUGCGUACCUUUUGUAUAAUGGGUCAGCGACUUAUAUUCUGUAGCAAGGUUAACCGUAUAGGGGAGCCGCAGGGAAACCGAGUCUUAACUGGGCGUUAAGUUGCAGGGUAUAGACCCGAAACCCGGUGAUCUAGCCAUGGGCAGGUUGAAGGUUGGGUAACACUAACUGGAGGACCGAACCGACUAAUGUUGAAAAAUUAGCGGAUGACUUGUGGCUGGGGGUGAAAGGCCAAUCAAACCGGGAGAUAGCUGGUUCUCCCCGAAAGCUAUUUAGGUAGCGCCUCGUGAAUUCAUCUUCGGGGGUAGAGCACUGUUUCGGCUAGGGGGUCAUCCCGACUUACCAACCCGAUGCAAACUACGAAUACCGAAGAAUGUUAUCACGGGAGACACACGGCGGGUGCUAACGUCCGUCGUGAAGAGGGAAACAACCCAGACCGCCAGCUAAGGUCCCAAAGUCAUGGUUAAGUGGGAAACGAUGUGGGAAGGCACAGACAGCCAGGAUGUUGGCUUAGAAGCAGCCAUCAUUUAAAGAAAGCGUAAUAGCUCACUGGUCGAGUCGGCCUGCGCGGAAGAUGUAACGGGGCUAAACCAUGCACCGAAGCUGCGGCAGCGACACUAUGUGUUGUUGGGUAGGGGAGCGUUCUGUAAGCCUGCGAAGGUGUGCUGUGAGGCAUGCUGGAGGUAUCAGAAGUGCGAAUGCUGACAUAAGUAACGAUAAAGCGGGUGAAAAGCCCGCUCGCCGGAAGACCAAGGGUUCCUGUCCAACGUUAAUCGGGGCAGGGUGAGUCGACCCCUAAGGCGAGGCCGAAAGGCGUAGUCGAUGGGAAACAGGUUAAUAUUCCUGUACUUGGUGUUACUGCGAAGGGGGGACGGAGAAGGCUAUGUUAGCCGGGCGACGGUUGUCCCGGUUUAAGCAUGUAGGCUGAUUGUCCAGGCAAAUCCGGAUAAUCAAGGCUGAGGUGUGAUGACGAGGCACUACGGUGCUGAAGUAACAAAUGCCCUGCUUCCAGGAAAAGCCUCUAAGCAUCAGGUAACAUCAAAUCGUACCCCAAACCGACACAGGUGGUCAGGUAGAGAAUACCAAGGCGCUUGAGAGAACUCGGGUGAAGGAACUAGGCAAAAUGGUGCCGUAACUUCGGGAGAAGGCACGCUGGUGUGUAGGUGAAGUCCCUGCGGAUGGAGCUGAGACCAGUCGAAGAUACCAGCUGGCUGCAACUGUUUAUUAAAAACACAGCACUGUGCAAACACGAAAGUGGACGUAUACGGUGUGACGCCUGCCCGGUGCCGGAAGGUUAAUUGAUGGGGUUAUCCGUAAGGAGAAGCUCUUGAUCGAAGCCCCGGUAAACGGCGGCCGUAACUAUAACGGUCCUAAGGUAGCGAAAUUCCUUGUCGGGUAAGUUCCGACCUGCACGAAUGGCGUAAUGAUGGCCAGGCUGUCUCCACCCGAGACUCAGUGAAAUUGAACUCGCUGUGAAGAUGCAGUGUACCCGCGGCAAGACGGAAAGACCCCGUGAACCUUUACUAUAGCUUGACACUGAACAUUGAGCCUUGAUGUGUAGGAUAGGUGGGAGGCUUUGAAGCGUGGACGCCAGUCUGCGUGGAGCCAACCUUGAAAUACCACCCUUUAAUGUUUGAUGUUCUAACGUUGGCCCCUGACCGGGGUUGCGGACAGUGUCUGGUGGGUAGUUUGACUGGGGCGGUCUCCUCCCAAAGCGUAACGGAGGAGCACGAAGGUUAGCUAAUCCUGGUCGGACAUCAGGAGGUUAGUGCAAUGGCAUAAGCUAGCUUGACUGCGAGCGUGACGGCGCGAGCAGGUGCGAAAGCAGGUCAUAGUGAUCCGGUGGUUCUGAAUGGAAGGGCCAUCGCUCAACGGAUAAAAGGUACUCCGGGGAUAACAGGCUGAUACCGCCCAAGAGUUCAUAUCGACGGCGGUGUUUGGCACCUCGAUGUCGGCUCAUCACAUCCUGGGGCUGAAGUAGGUCCCAAGGGUAUGGCUGUUCGCCAUUUAAAGUGGUACGCGAGCUGGGUUUAGAACGUCGUGAGACAGUUCGGUCCCUAUCUGCCGUGGGCGCUGGAGAAUUGAGGGGGGCUGCUCCUAGUACGAGAGGACCGGAGUGGACGCAUCACUGGUGUUCGGGUUGUCAUGCCAAUGGCACUGCCCGGUAGCUAAAUGCGGAAGAGAUAAGUGCUGAAAGCAUCUAAGCACGAAACUUGCCCCGAGAUGAGUUCUCCCUGAGACUUUAAGUCUCCUGAAGGAACGUUGAAGACGACGACGUUGAUAGGCCGGGUGUGUAAGCGCAGCGAUGCGUUGAGCUAACCGGUACUAAUGAACCGUGAGGCUUAACCUUACAACGCCGAAG